GGCCUUGUAGUGUAGCGGUUAUCACAUCGGAUUCUGAUUCUCAGAAUGUUCCGGUAACCCAGGUUCGAUUCCUGGCAUGGCCU
rfam:Pleurotus ostreatus PC15 unplaced genomic scaffold scaffold_04, whole genome shotgun sequence.